rnacentral:rRNA from 1 species
CUGCAUAGUAACGCGAAGCAGGUAGACACAGACAUGACAUGAUUGCAUGGACGUGGUGACCGACGAAACGCUCCGGGGAGCUGGAAGCAAGCAAUCGAUCCGGAGAUAUCCGAAUGGGGCAACCCUAUGAUACUGCCUGUUGAAUAUAUAGACAGGUCAGAGCCAACCCAGCGAAUUGAAACAUCUUAGUAGCUGGAGGAAGAGAAAUCAAAAGAGAUUCCCCAAGUAGUGGUGAGCGAACGGGGAAGAGCCUAAACCAACGAGCUUGCUUGUUGGGGUCGUGGGACAGCGAGAUCGAAUCUGGCGGUUAGACGAAGCAGAUAAAUACUGCACCAAAGAAGGUGAGAGUCCUGUAGUCGAAAACUUAAGGAUAGUAGCUGAAUCCCGAGUAGCAUGGGGCACGAGAAAUCCCAUGUGAAUCAGCGAGGACCACCUCGUAAGGCUAAAUACUACUGUGUGACCGAUAGUGAACCAGUACCGCGAGGGAAAGGUGAAAAGAACCCCGAUAAGGGGAGUGAAAUAGAACAUGAAACCAUUAGCCUACAAGCAGUGGGAGGACGAUUCAACGUCUGACCGCGUGCCUGUUGAAGAAUGAGCCGGCGAGUUAUAAGCACUGGUAGGUUAAGUCAAAGACGUAGCCAAAGCGAAAGCGAGUCUGAAGUGGGCGAUGCAUCAGUGUUUAUAGACCCGAACCCGGGUGAUCUAACCAUGUCCAGGAUGAAGCUUGGGUAACACCAAGUGGAGGUCCGAACCGACUGAUGUUGAAAAAAUCAGCGGAUGAGGUGUGGUUAGGGGUGAAAUGCCAAUCGAACCCGGAGCUAGCUGGUUCUCCCCGAAAUGUGUUGAGGCGCAGCGGUAACGAAUAUAUCUGGGGGGUAAAGCACUGUUGAGGUGCGGGCUGGGAGACCGGUACCAAAUCUCGACAAACUCAGAAUACCCAGAGCACACGUUGCCAGUGAGACGGUGGGGGAUAAGCUUCAUCGUCAAGAGGGAAACAGCCCAGACCACCAGCUAAGGUCCCGAAAUCAUCGCUAAGUGGCAAAGGAGGUGGGAGUGCACAGACAACCAGGAGGUUUGCCUAGAAGCAGCCACCCUUGAAAGAGUGCGUAAUAGCUCACUGGUCAAGCGCUCCUGCGCCGAAAAUGAACGGGACUAAACUUUGUACCGAAGCUGCGGACUUGUAUGAAUUUACAAGUGGUAGGGGAGCGUUCUGUGGUAGGAAGAAGCACUAGCGGCAAGCAGGUGUGGACGAAACAGAAGUGAGAAUGUCGGCUUGAGUAGCGCAAAUAUUGGUGAGAAUCCAAUACCCCGAAACCCUAAGGGUUCCUCCACAAGGCUCGUCCGUGGAGGGUUAGUCAGGACCUAAGGCGAGGCCGAACGGCGUAGUCGAUGGACAACGGGCGAACAAUCCCGUACUGAAAAUUAGUUGUGCAGAGGGACGGAGAAGGCACGCACCAGCCGAAUGUUGGUUAUCGGCGUAAUUAACCGAGGCGAUGAGAAGCGGCGAAAACGCUUCGAGCUGGGGUUAAAAAUCCGAGGGUCUAAGGACCCGAAGUGGUAGCGGUCAAGCUUCCAAGAAAAGCUCUAAACACGUUAACUAAUUGUCACCUGUACCCAAAACCGACACAGGUAGGGAGGUAGAGUAUACCAAGGGGCGCGAGAUAACUCUCUCUAAGGAACUCGGCAACAUGGCCCCGUAACUUCGGAAGAAGGGGUGCCCGAGCAAUCGGGUCGCAGUGAAGAGAUCCAGGCGACUGUUUACCAAAAACACAGGUCUCCGCAAAGUCAAUAGACGAGGUAUGGGGGCUGACGCCUGCCCAGUGCCGGAAGGUUAAGGAAGUCGGUCAGGGCCUUGAGCCUGAAGCUGGCGACUGAAGCCCCGGUGAACGGCGGCCGUAACUAUAACGGUCCUAAGGUAGCGAAAUUCCUUGUCGGGUAAGUUCCGACCCGCACGAAAGGCGUAACGAUCUGG